rnacentral:rRNA from 1 species
CACGUAGGGGGCAAGCGUUGUCCGGAUUUAUUGGGCGUAAAGAGCUCGUAGGCGGCUUAGUAAGUCGGGUGUGAAACCUCCAGGCUCAACCUGGAGACGCCACCCGAUACUGCUGUGGCUAGAGUCCGGUAGGGGAGCGUGGAAUUCCUGGUGUAGCGGUGAAAUGCGUAGAUAUCAUUUGGAACGCCAAUGGUGAAAACAGCUCGCUGGGGGUUUGCUGACGCUGAGACGACGAAAGCCAGGGGAGCAAAGCGGG